rnacentral:rRNA from 1 species
UAUCAAACGCUUUCUCAAUGUCCAAACGCACCACCAUCAGUUCCCAAUAGAUUACUGAAGUUAAGCAACUUUGGGCGUGGUUAGUAUCCAGAUGGGUGACCAUCUGGGCAAUCGCAUCUAUUGAUUA